CCUACGGGUGGCAGCAGUGGGGAAUAUUGGGCCAUGGGCGCAAGCCUGACCCAGCAACGCCGCGUGAAGGAAGAAGGCUUUCGGGUUGUAAACUUCUUUGAAGAGGGAAGAGCAGAAGACGGUACCUCUUGAAUAAGCCCCGGCUAACCUCGUGCCAGCCGCCGCGGUUAUACGUAGGUGGCAAGCGUUGUCCGGAUGUACUGGGUGUAAAGGGCGUGCAGCCGGGAAGGCAAGUCAGAUGUGAAAUCCCGCGGCUCAACCGCGGAGCUACGUGUGAAACUGUUUUUCGUGAGUGCCGGAGGGGUCAUGGGAAUUCCUUGUGUAGCGGUGGAAUGCGUAGAUAUAAGGAAGAACACCAGUGGCGAAGGCGGAUGACUGGACGGCAACUGACGGUGAGGCGCGAAAGCGUGGGGAGCAAACAGGAGUAGAUACCCGAGUAGUC
rnacentral:rRNA from 1 species